rnacentral:lncRNA from 1 species
GCUCAGUGCCAGACCUGCCAUGAGACUACAGAGCACAUAAAGCCUGAAGGCCUGUAUUCCCAGGUACUGCUCCUGAUCACAACUUCUGUCUCUGUUUCAGCACCUCAUGGAGACAUGAACCAAGGAUAAAGAAUGAAAACCAACAGAUUUUCUUAGCCAAGAGAGGAAAAUUUGGAAGACAUAAAAGAGAUAUUCCCAGAAUACUACACAAAGAACCAGGGGAUUGUGCAGCCUUGCUUCAGCCAGGAAGAGAUUGGAGAUGCUUCAUUCGCUCUUUGAAACAUGCAGACUGAUGCCCUCCGCAUGUGUUUGUAUUCAAAUACCAAUGAGCAAGGA